GAGGGUACAGCUCAGGGGUAGAGUGCGUGCUUAGCAUGCACGAGGUCCUUGGUUCAAUCCCUAGUACCUCCA
rnacentral:tRNA from 1 species